rnacentral:rRNA from 1 species
UGGGGAAUUUUGGACAAUGGGGGAAACCCUGAUCCAGCCAUCCCGCGUGUGCGAUGAAGGCCUUCGGGUUGUAAAGCACUUUUUGCAGGAAAGAAACGUCAUGGGUUAAUACCCCGUGAAACUGACGGUACCUGCAGAAUAAGCACCGGCUAACUACGUGCCAGCAGCCGCGGUAAUACGUAGGGUGCAAGCGUUAAUCGGAAUUACUGGGCGUAAAGCGUGCGCAGGCGGUUCGGAAAGAAAGAUGUGAAAUCCCAGAGCUCAACUUUGGAACUGCAUAUUUUACUACCGGGCUAGAGUGUGGAAGAGGGGGGAGGAAUUCCGCGUGUAGCAGUGAAAUGUGUAGGUAUGCGGAGGAACACCGAUGGCGAAGGCAGCCUCCUGGGAUAACACUGACGCUGAUGCACGAAAGCGUGGGGAGCAAACAGG